rnacentral:rRNA from 1 species
CCUACGGGAGGCAGCAGUGGGGAAUAUUGCACAAUGGGCGCAAGCCUGAUGCAGCCAUGCCGCGUGUGUGAAGAAGGCCUUCGGGUUGUAAAGCACUUUCAGUGGUGAGGAAGGUCAGUAAGUUAAUAACUUGCUGAAUUGACGUUAGCCACAGAAGAAGCACCGGCUAACUCCGUGCCAGCAGCCGCGGUAAUA